rnacentral:misc_RNA from 1 species
AACGCACCUUGCGCCCCUUGGUCAUUCCGAAGGGCAUGCCUGUUUGAGUAUCAUGAACACCUCAACUCUCAUGGUUUUCCAUGGUGAGCUUGGACUGUGGAGGAUUUGUUGGCCUGUGGUCAGCUCCUCUCAAAUGAAUCAGCUUACCGGUGUUUGGUGGCAUCACGAGUGUGAUAACUAUCUGCGCUCGCUGCUGUCUCCAAGUAACCUCCAUCCCUGGAGGUUCACUGGAGCUCACAAACGUCUCUCCUCAGCGAAGACAGCCUUUCUGACGUUCGAUCUCAAAUCAGGUAGGACUACCCGCUGAACUUAA